rnacentral:lncRNA from 1 species
UCUGAAUUUGGAGGAUUUUGAACAAUACUUAGAUCUCGCAAUCUUCUUCUAGGCAUUUUAUCUGCAAUACACAUAAAAUAGUUGAAUUUUUAGUAACUAAUUACAAUAAUAAUAGUACAUAUAGAAUAGUUAAAAUAUUUAACAAGAUCAAGAUUUAAAUUAUAAUAUUACAUAUAAUUAAAAAAUCAUAAAAUCUUACUACAUCAUAAUUCGUAAAUAUUUUCAUCCACAUCCUGGCGAACCCAUUGAAAUUGUGUACUAAUACUAGGGAUAGUUUCAUUUAAGUUUUGUUCUGGAAAAGGUAAAGUUUCUGAUCUUUCGCCGAUGUCAUCUCUACUUCUAUUGCCCAUGUCAAACAAGUCUCUAUGGGUGUUACGGAGUACAACGUACCAACCCUCAUUAGUUGGAUCUUUCGAGUAAAAAACAUGUUUCACUUGAGAAUAAAAUACAUACGACUCGUCUAUCAAUUGUUGUCCAGUGUGAAUUAAUCGAGAGAAGUUCACCAUUGUAAAACCAAAUUGAUCUUUUUUUAAUUUCACGAGCAAUAUUAACAUCAGCUCAAUCACAUCAAAAUAAGACAACCUUCCGUUUGCCAUAGUAAUCCAACUCAAUACUGCCAGUAAGAAGCCCAUAAUACUCCACAUUUCCCUCAGCAGGAUUACUGUCCCUAGCACUAGCAUAACUUGUAAUUGAAGAAUUAACAACUAUUCUACAAUUUUGAGUCCUCCUCAAUCUUUCGCGAGAUUUUGUAUGAAACCUGAAUCCAUUGAUGAGGAAGGCACUAUAUCUUUUUAUUACUCUAUUCAGACCUUGGCAAAGCCAUUUAACUUCGUCAUUGAUGUCCUUUCCACUCCAAACCUAUUAAAUCGAAAGUAAAUUGAUUAAUUAUAAUGGUUAUAAGAAAACAUUAUUAUUUGUCAAUGAAAGCUUUAGUUGCGUACCAUUUGCCAUAACCAUUCAUGAAAAUAUUUUGUGAAUAACUUAUGAAUCUCUCGAUGUUGUAAUCUUCAGGAGCGUGAAUGAGAUCUCGAGACUUGUUUGUACUCGCUAUGUUAAAAAGUGGAUUACUUGGUUAGAAGAUAAACAAAUAAAAAAGAUGAAUAUUUAUCAAAUUCUAAAACUUACUUGAUUAAUAGUUUAAUUAAAUCGUGGUGAAAAAGAACAUAUCGAUGUGCUUGUACCUAAGAUCUAUCAUCUAGGUGUGCAAUUUCAACUUUACAUAUUGGUUCUCCAUAACUUCGAAAUAAAUAAGUUUCGGCUAAGUUACGAUUAGUGAGCCCAACAUUUCUACUUGGUAUAUUCAGUCUUGUUUCAAUAUCUUCUAAAUAUCUAGAACAGAAAGUCAUACACUCCUCUGCCAAGUAACCUGCAGCAAUUGAUCCUUCUGGGUAACGAUUAUUACAACAAUAAGACUUCAAUUGGCAUAGGAACCUAAACAUGAUAUACAACAUUAUCAAAAGUUGUAACUAAAGGUAUAUUCAUGAAUGAAUGAAAACUUUACAAAUAAAUUAGCACCUCUCUAUAGGAUACAUCCACUGAUAGAAAACCGGUCUACCAAGUUUUGCUUCAUGAGUGAAAUGAAUUAACAAGUGCACCAUAAUAGUGAAGAAAUAAGGUAGAAAGAUCUUCUCCAAAUUGCAUAAAGUCAAUGCGGCUCGAUCUUGUACUUUUGCAAGUUCUUCAACAAUUAAAACUUUGCCACAAAUAGCUUUCAUUAUAUUAGAUAGUUCAAUUAUACAAGACGUCACCUUUUUUUACAUACAACACUGUAAAGCAACUAGCAGUAAAUCUUGCAUCAAGAUGUGAUAAUCAUGUGAUUUUAGGGAAUAUAGUCUUCGAUCUUUAAGACUCACACAUCGAGAUAUAUUUGAUGCAUACGCAUCUGGGACCUUUAUAUCUUUCAACACCGUACAGAACACUUCUUUUUCUUUCUUCGACAUUGCAAAAAUAGAAGGCGUUAACUGAUAUUUCUCAUUCAGAAGUGCUUAGGGAUGAAGAUCACAUCGAAUUCCCAUGUCAACUAGAUCAACUAGAAUUUGAAGAUUGUCUUUCUCUUUUCUAUCGACAUUCAGAAUUGUCCCAAUGAUGUUCUCGCAAACAUUCUUUUCAAUAUGUAUGACAUCAAGAUUAUGUCGUAAAAUGUGAUGCUCCCAAUAAGGUAACUAAAAAAAAUACUUCUUCUUUUUCUACAAGUCCGCCUCAUUAGGAUCAUCCUCUUCAGCAGAUUCAUCAUCAAUCUGCCGGUCAACAUCGCCAACAUACACCUCCCUCGGUCUUCUAUUUGUUUGCGUGUUGGGUGGUUGAUCCAUCUUUUCAUAACUGAAAUUGAUAUCUUUUAACAUAAGCAAGAUUUCAGAUCUAAUGGUUUGCUUAGGAGCUUCUCUGAACUCUUCAGUACCAUCAAAUAAAGUCCUCUGAAAUUUAAAUCUAUAAUUUCCAUCUAACCACCGAUGAUGCCCCAUAUAAGAUAACUUUUUCCCAUUAUAUAACCACUUCGAACAUGUUUGCGCCACAUAACAAGGACAAGCAUAACACCUUUUGGUACUCCAACCAGAUAAAUUGGCAUAAGCCAAAAAAUCAUUAAUAGUCCACAACAAAGUUGCACGUAAAUAAAAGUUCUCCUUUUUUAAGCCAUCAUAUGUUUCUACACCUGCCCAUAAUUGUUUCAACUCUUCAAUAAGUGGCUGCAUAUGUCACGGGGCAAAGUGCAAAGCCCGUGACCAUGGCACAAGAAGUGCCCCAUGGAGGUCCAUUGAUAAGAUGGGGAACAUUUAGCCCACGAGAACUGGCCUGAUUCAAGGAAUUAUUGGAGAAGCCUGUCAGAUUGAAGCCUGGUUGGCCCAAUGAUGAAGACAUGGCAACUUAGGCUAAUUUUGGUAACUAAUCUUAAAAGAUAGAGAGAAUCAUAUCUUGUAAAGAUUAGAUUAGAUUUGAUAUGACAAAUCAUGUAAAUCCCUAACAUCAAGGGACAUAAUGAAUCUCGUCCGUCGAUGUAAAUGUAUCUUGACCUUCAGUUUUGAGGGAGCUCAACUAUAAAUAGAGAGCCUCCCCCUCAUUUGUAAUCAUCCCUUGUAAGGUGAAUUCUUAAGAGUAAUAGAAUUCCUGGGCAUUUACUCAAACACUUUGUUUGCAAUCUUUCUUUAGCUUUCUGUUGUUCUUUUGUGGCUUUUUUUGGCUAAAUCGCUUCCGCUACACAAAUCGGUGCCUUGGAGGAGUUCUUUAAAAGAAUCCUCACUUUUGGGUGUUAAGGCUGACUUGGGCGAGUUUGGACGAACAGAUUGCCUAAGGCGGCACGGAUUGCAGACGAAAGGUCUAGCCCCGUGACAAGUGGUAUCCGAGCAGGUUUUGAACCAAGUGAUAUUCGAGUUGGUUCGAAGGCACCGUUGGGAUGUCGAAAGAAGUCAUCGGUCAGAGUGAACCAAUGGAGACCCGUGGGAGGGCCAGAAAAUCCAGUCGCUCGAGGGAAAUGCUGACAGCUUUGGAAAAUCGAGUGGUGAAUCUCGAGGAAUCCAUCGGGAACGUGAAAGAGACGCUUGAAUUGGUCGAGGGACGCACGGAUGGGUUUGACUCAAUGGAGGAGCAACUCAGAGAUUUUGUGUUGGAUUCUCUCGAUGCCAAUAAGGAAAAGAUGAAUGAUUUACUCGAGUCCACUGCGGGAAAGCUGGCAGAGAGGGAUGAGUAUCUCGAGGAUAUGGUGUUAGCCAUGAAGAAAGAAAUAGAGGAGCUCAAAGGGGAGCUCGCGAUCUACAAAGCCGCUUUGAGUAAUGGGAUGUUGUCUUCAAGACCGAAACAACAAGCAAUAGAUGUUCCCACCGGAAAAGUUUAAGGGUGCACGAUCCGCAAGGGAUGUGGACAACUUCUUGUGGGAAAUGGAGCAAUAUUUCUAAGCGAUGGGCAUCGAGGAUGACGCCAUUAAGGUAAAUACAGCUUCAAUCUAUUUUACUGAUGUAGCUCUCUUGUGGUGGCGUCGUAGGUCCACGGAUGAGAAACGUGGUGGGAACGCAAUUGGGACUUGGGAGGAGUUCCAAAGAGAUUUGAAGAAGCAGUUUUACCCUCAGUUUGCCAAGAAGGAGGCUCGUGCAAAGUUGCGUCGUCUCACGCAACAAGGCACUGUUCGGGAGUAUGUUCAGACAUUUAGCGAGUUGAUGCUUCAAAUCUCCGACUUGAGCGAGAAAGAAGCAUUCUAUUGGUUCGAGGAUGGGUUAAAGCCGUGGGCAAAGCAGGAGUUGCGAAGGAAAGGAAUCAUUGAACUUACUGUAGCCAUGGUAGAAACAGAGUCCUUUGUUGAGCUUGGUUCAAGAGGAGACAAGCUCGAGGCGUCUAAGCCCAACGGAAAGGGCAAUGGUGAGGGAAACCAUGAAGAAGAUGAGGAGGGACGUAGUGAUGAUGGCAACAGUACCGAUAGCAAAAGUGUAAUACCCCGAAAAUCUUUACAGUAAGAUAUUAUAUUUGAUAUAAUAAAAUAAGAAAAUAAAGCGUCAAAAAUAGGAAAUUUUGGAGUUAUGUCAACAUUGGGUCGUAUAUUAUGACAUAUUAGUUCAAGAAAGGAUUAAAUCGUAAAAGUGAAGGAUAUUUAGUAUAUUAAAUGAUAUGUUAUUAUUUUAAUAUUUAGUAUAUAUAUAUGUGUGUGGAAAGAAAGAUGAGAAUAAUCCAACCCACCAUCUUUUCCAUGCAAUUCACGUUAGAAGAGAAGAGAAGAAAGAAAGUUUUACUUUCUUUACAAUUUAGUCCUUCCACCAAAAAUUCAUCAUUUUUAUCUAGAAAUCAAAAGAAUUUUCAUAUCCAUCAAGAGAGAAAGAUAACAAGGAGACUAUGGGGAGCUAGAAUAUCAAGUUAGAUUCAAGAAAUAGAAGCGGAGGAGAGAGGAAAUCAAGUUAAAGAUUGAAAUCAAUAUGACAAGGUAAGUACAUCAAGAUUUUAAUAUAUUUUUAAGUUUGAUAUUAUUGAAAAAGCAUGGAAAUGAUGUUAAUGUAAAGUUUUUGUAUAUAUGGUCCUAUUUUAUUGAUAUGUUAGUGAAGAGAAAAUAAGAGAAAGUGAUGAGAAAUAGUGUAGAGAAAGAAAAUAAGGGUGUUAUAAACAUGGUAAUAAACAUCUUGCACUAAAAUGGUUUUGGCCAGUAACAGUGGGCUCACUUUGAAAAAUCACCAUCAAUUAUGAAAAUCUAAUUAGAGUAUGAAUAAAAUAUUUAAUUAAAGCUUAUUGAGUCUAGUUUCUCAUAAAAGAAACGGUGUAAGUAGUGGAAUUGUAAAUUAUGAGAUAUAAUAAAUUUUGUGAGACAAUGUCAGAUUGAAUUCGAGUUCCCCUGUUCUGACUUGGAAAAAUCAUUAAAAAUUGUAAAAAAAUAGUUAUGGGUUAUAAUUUAUAUUUCUAAAAUCCUUAAUUAGUCUAUUUUCAACAGAAACAAAUGGGGGCAUAAUCUGAAUUCUGAACAAAGAGAUAAUUAAUUUUUAGUGAAGAAGGGUCGGAAUUGUCAGACAGCAGAACAAAUGUGACUUUAAACAAUAAACUGUACUUAUUGGUGGAAGAAAAAAUUCUGAAAAUUUUAUGGUAACAAGGUAUAUGAGUCUAGUUUCAGGUAAAAUUAGCGGAUCCUAAUUUGGAGUUCCGUAGCUCAAGAUAAAAAUAAUUUAGUGGCUAUGACUCAAAUGGAUAGUUUUGAAUAAAUUUACAAGUAAAUUGUGAAAUCAUAGAUAAUGUUACUUAUAAGCAUGUAUUAUAAAUCAAGGAUGUGGAAUAGAGAGGAGGAGGAGGAAAAUAUAUAUAUAUAUAUAUAUAUAUGUAUGUAUGUAUAUAUGAAUAUUCAGUUAGCAUGGAUAACUUGCACGUUUUAGACUCAGGGACUAAAUUAAAUAAAAGUAAAACUUUAAGGGUAAAUUUGUAAAAAUUUCAAAAAGUGACCAAAUUGCAUGAAAUGAAUUUUUUUAUUAUUUAAAUUAUUAAAUGGAAUGAAAUAUAAAUUUAGAUCAAGAUUGGGUGAAAAUUUGAGAAAAAUAGAAAACUUCCAAAAUAUCCCUGAAUUUUGGUAUUUCUGCAAUUUAGUCUGAUAAGCUCGAAUGAGCUAUAUUCUGUAAUAAUUUUAAGUGAAGUGAAUGCUAUUUGGUAAUAAAAAUUAUAUAUAUGUGUGUAUUAUUAUUGGAAUUAAUUUAUUAUUGGUAAUAUGUAUAAUUAUUUGAUACAUUUAGCUGAUUAUCGGAAGCUAAAUUGAGUUGGAAGCUUGUUGGAGAUAUAUCACAGUAUCCAUUGGUUCUAUCGGUAAUUUUGGAUGAUUUGAUUCUGGUUAUAAUGGCAUGUAUAAGUUAAAUUGGUUAACGUUAACUCAUUAAUGUAUUGAUUUUGAUUGGUUAUAAAUAUGAAUGCUAGAUAAAAAUGAAAUGUCUGAAAAUUAAUUAGUAAACUCCGGUAAUGCCUCGUACCCUGUUUUGGUGUCGAAUACGGGUAAGGGGUGUUACAGAAAGUGGCAGUGGGAAACCACGAGAUGCGAAUCGGGGAUUCAACAACCCAAGGGACAAGAGGAAGAAGAUAAAAUGCUUCCUUUGUUAAGGACCACACAUGGCGCGGAAAUGUCUGAAUAAAGUGAUGGUUUCGGCAAAGAAAGAUGAGCCGAAGGAAGAGGCGAAGCCUACUGAGGGAAAGACAUCGAAAUUCAAUUCGAUGGUGCUCAUUCCUGGGAAGAGGAAUGGUGGCAAAGGGUUGAUGUUUGUGCUCAUUCCUGGGAAGAGGAAUGGUGGCAAAGUGCUCUUAUUGAUACGGGAGCAUCAGACUUGUUCAUGUCGGAAAAGGCUGCGAAGAAGCUUGGUCUGUCGAUUAGAAAAUCGAAUAAGAAGAUCAAGGUAGCAACUUUUGAGAAAGCCCCAACUGUUGGAGUAGUUCGUGAUGUGGAACUACAAAUCGGCGAAUAGAAGAGCAAAGAAGAAUUCGAGGUAAUCCGAUUAGAUGAUUACGAUUUUGUGCUUGGCUUAAACUUCCUUGUCAGGAUUCAGGCAACUCUGCAACCAUGGGCCGAUCAAAUCCAUAUUAUCACUGGUCCGUCAACAAAAAGUGUUGUGUCGGUGCAUCGGGAUGUGAAGGUUGGGACUAAGGUGUUAUCGUCAAUCCAACUAGUCAGAGAUGUUUCGUAUGGGAGAAACAUUAAUUCGUCGAAACGGAAUGCUACGAAAGCCCCUUCGGAAGUGUUAGUGGCGCAAGGGACCGAUAUGAAGCCUGCGGGAUCGACUGUGGAGCCGACACCUUUGGGAAAGGUGGGUUGUGCAUCGGGCUUCAAAGGAAAAGGAGCGAUGCAAAGACAGUCGAGACGAGUAAAUGCUAUGAGUAAGGUACAUUGCAAACACUCUGAUGGUGUUUUGAAUUCUGACUUGUUGGCUUGGCAAAGUCGUAGGGGCCCUUUCAAAGUUCAUAAGCAAGGAGGCAAAGGAACUGUGGGCGGGACGAAGCCGAGGUGUGAGAAUCGAGGGGAUUCCAACAGAAACAAGUCAAAAUUGAGGCAAGUUAAAAUAGAGACUUCUUGCCAGCAGAAUGUACCAACGAGUGCAACGGUUCAAGAUAAGAGGCGACGGAAGCCGAGGCAUAAGUUUCGAAGCAAGGGACAACCCGAUCGCAAGGCAAGUCGGGAAGAAGCCGAGGCAAUGAGAAAAGGUGAAUCAAGCUAGUGUCAUCCAGAAGUCGCAACGAGGGCGUUGCGAGAAUGGGUAGGGGAGAAUGUCACGGGCCAAAGUGCAAAGCCCGUCACCAUGGCACAAGAAGUGCCCCAUAGAGGUCCAUUGAUAAGAUGGGGAACAUUUAGCCCACGAGAACUGGCCCGAUUCAAGGAAUUAUUGGAGAAGCCUGUCAGAUUGAAGCCUGGUUGGCCCGAUGAUGAAGACAUGGCAACUUAGGCUAAUUUUGGUAACUAAUCUUAAAAGAUAAAGAGAAUUAUAUCUUGUAAAGAUUAGAUUAGAUUUGAUAUGGCAAAUCUUGUAAAUCCCUAAAAUUAAGAGAUAUAAUGAAUCUCAUCCGUCGAUGUAAAUGUAUCUUGACUGUCGGUUUUGGGGGAGCUCAACUAUAAAUAGAGAGCCUCCCCCUCAUUUGUAAUCAUCCAUUGUAAGGUGAAUUCUUAAGAGUAUUAGAAUUCCUGGGCAUUUACUUAAACACUUUGUGUGCAUUCUUUCUUUAGCUUUCUGUUGUUCUUUUGUGGCUUCUUUUGGCUAAAUCGCUUCUGCUAUACAAAUCGGUGCCUUGGAGGAAUUCUUUAAAAAAAUCCUCACUUUUGGGUGUUAAGGCUGACUUGGGCGAGUUUGGACGAACGGAUCGCCUAAGGCCGCACGGAUUGCAGACGAAAGGUCAACCCCGUGACACAUAUAAAUGUCAAUAUCAUUCCCAAAACCUUUCUCUCCAGGGAUAAUCAUAGAUAAGAUAAAAGAAGAUUGUUUCAUGCAAAUCCACGGAGGUAAAAUUGUAAAGAACAAGCACUACAGGCCAAGUACUGUACGAAGUACUCAUGAUUUUAUAAGGAUUAAAUCUAUUAGAUGCUAGCCCAAGCCUCACAUUCUGAGGAUCGCUUGCAAAGCUUGAAAAUUUACUAUCAAAUGAUUCCCAAGCUAAAGAAUCCGCAGGAUGCCUUAAUAAUCCAUCAUCGAUUUGUUGAUCAUGAUGUCACCUUAGAAACUCGGCUGUCUUUGAUGACAUGAAAAGCCUUUGAAGCCUUUGUAUUAGUGAAAAAUAUCGCAAAAUCUUUAUUGGCUUCUUUCUUGACUGUGCCUCACCUUCAUCCUCAUUCACAUCCUUUGUAUUUCUAUUCAUCCAACGAGAUUUACCGUAAACAUGACAAGACUGUUGGUUUUUCCGAUCACCCAAUACAACAUGUAGUCAUUUGGGCAACUAUGAAUUUUGUCGUACCCAAUGCCUAAAUCUUUUAUCAGUUUCUUUAUAUCUUUACAUGAAUGAGAGAUUUUUGCAAAUGGAAACAUAUCUCUCAAAAACUCUAACAGCAGUGUUAAAGAGUUUCCGGUCCACCCUCCCAAACAUUUUACGUAAAAAAGACGAAUGCAAAAGGACAUUUUUGAAAAUUGUAAUCCCUCAUAAAGUUCUUCAUCCAUUUCAUUAAGUAACUUGUAGAACUUCGCCGCUUCUCCAUUUGGCUCUUCAUUAGGUACACUUCUUCCCGUUUCGGUAAAAGCAUUUCCACCAAUAUCACAAUCAUCGGAUGCAAUAAUUUCAGGUGAAAACGAUUGCAAACCAUGACUGCGCAUAUUAAAUGCAUCCCGCAACAUAUCUUCCAUGUCACCUUCUCUAACAGACUGAUGAUAAGCAUUAUAAGGAUAAGCCGGGUUAAUGGUUGAAGAGGUUCUACAAGGUGUACACUCUCCAUAGAAAAUUCAUUUUUUAUACCCCCGAAUAAAGUCAUCAACAAUUAGAUGUUUGUAGACAACUUCACGAAUAUGCCAAUUGAUGUUGCCACACUUCUAACACAGGCAAAGAAUCAUAUUCUCUUGGCUUGCAUUUUGAAAUGCAAAAUUUAGAAAAGUUUGUACUCCAUUUCGAUAGUCGUUGCUUACCCUUGACAAAUUCAUCCAACUCUUACCUAUUUCGUUGUUCUUGAAAUCUAAAGUUGACAAUAAAUUAUGGUUAGUUAAGUGUUCUAAAUUGAUUUAAAUCAUAUCAUUGUACUAAAAUAGACAAUACAUAUCAAGUAUCUAAUGGGAGUAAACUAAUUCAGGUAAGUUGUUUAUUUAUAAGUAUAAUUAAGUUAUGUAAGUUAUGAUAUAUAUUUAUGUAAGUUAUGUAAGUUAUAAAAUUUGAACUUUAAACUAUAUACUUUUAAGGAAAUUUAUUUUUUAUAGAAUUAUUUUAUUCAUGAAAAAAGAAAGAAAAAUAAUUGGGUUAGAAUUUGGUACAUGAAACCCCACAAGCAAACUUAAAAAAUUCUCAUACACUGUGGUGGGAAAUGAGAAUAAAAAAAAUAAACAUUUCAUUUAAAAUCAAAGUGGUGGUCAUAUUGUAUGUCUAUGUCAGGGGUGUGGAUUACUGGAAUCCCAAAAAUAAAUAUUACCAUAUUUUAUUCAUUUAAAUUUCAUAUUAUUAUAUUAUUUUAUAAAAAAAUAAAAAAAAAAUUUGCUAGCUUUGUUUAAUAUUGUUUCAAUAAAGAAAACGUAAAUUGGUAGCAGUCCAAUAAAGUUAAGUUGAGGAGAACAUGAUUAUUUGAUUGCCCAUUUUAUGAUUCUUCAAAAUCAUAAGCCUGUCAUUUUAAAGAGAAAAAGAUAUGAAACAAUGACUACUCCUCCCAAAAUCCAAACCAAAUCAUCCAUACUUCAUGGAUCCAAUAUUUAGUUUGGUGAUUAUAACUUUUUUUUCAAAAAAUCUAAAACAUAAGUUUAGUAGAUUGAUUGAAUUUAAAAGAAAAAAAAACUUUUGGAAAUUAGUAUUUCAAGAUUUGGAUUUAAAUUUUUAAAAUAAUAUAAUUUGAGUAAUAAAUUAUUUAAAAAUAUAAUAUUCAUAAUUAUUUUUAAAAUUUAUGAAUUUGUUAGUAAUGAAUUUAAAACAAAGAAAGAAAGGAAGCAGAACUGUCUUACCUAAAACAAUGUGGAUUGAAACUAAGCAAAUUGGAUGACAGAAAACUAGAUGGGAAAUCUAAAGUAAGUAAAACGAUCCAAUAUUUGAAAGAAAAAUCAGAAAUUCAAUCUAUAACUUUACGCAUAAUACAAGACUAAUAGCAAAAUAAAACUCCAAACAUAUUUAACUACUAUCAUUUGGUCGAGACUAAAGUUUCAAAAUUGUUUAAAAUUAUUGGAGCUAAAUUUGACACUUACAGUAAAUAUAUAUAAAUCGAAAUCAAUAUAAUAUAGAAAAAAGAAAAACCUGAGAUCGUGCUCUCUGAAGUUUUUGUUCAAGUUGAGUUAACUUUAUUCUACUCGACUCUAGUUGUUGAACAUAUGUCUAUUUAAACAUAUAUAUAUAUAUAUGCAUCAGUUUAUAUGUUAUGGACACAUAAGUAAGAAACUACAUGCAAAUGUAUGUGUUUUUUCGGUGUAUGUCUUUUUUAUGUUACCUUCUUUCUAAGACGGCUUUUCUUUGCAGCUUCUCUGUUUUGAGCUAAACGCCUCAAUUGUUUUCACGUUGAGACUUAAUGAACUAAUCUAGACAAAAAAAAAUGUUACAAUCCCUAAAAACUAUUACCAAAUUAAAUAAAGGCUAAAAAAUAAAUUAAGCCCAUGGACAGCAAUGAAUUUCUGGAAAAGAAGCAAUAAUCAACUACUAAGCUAUUUUCCUACUAACAAUCAUAUCGUGGAGAAAAUAUAUUACUCAGUUUCUUUGGCUGAAAGAAAAAGGAACAUCACUGGUUAAAACCAAUAUUAUGAAGCAUAAUCCUACAUCCUGAUGAAAAAUGUCACUGCGUUUAUUGUCUCCCUCCCGAUUUCCACAAACCCCAACACUUGAUUAUCCUUCUCCAACUCUCAUUUAAUCCUUCCUAAUUUCCCCCUAAUUUAUAAAAUUCAUUCCAACCCACGCAACAGAUUCCAUUUUCCUUCCCACUACUGUAAAAGUAAUUUCACUAACUAUAGUUUUUUUUUUUUCGUCUAUAUAUAAGAAAAUCUAAUGUAUACACUUUUUCUCUAAAACAACAUUGAAGAAUGUUAGAAGAGAAUCGAAAGCAAGUCAGGGAGUAAAUUGUUUUUAAUAAAUGGCAUAUAAUCCAAUUUCAAAGAAGUUGUUUGACUUUUGUUAUCAAUUUUAAAGCAAGUCAGUGAAUAAACGUUAUAGAAAGCUCAGAAUUCAUUAAGUCUCCAAACAAGUAUAACAGAAAAAACUUAGCGAUUGGUUGCAGCAGACGAGUGCGACGGCGACGCAGGCGAUGCAGCAGAUCAGUUGGGAUUUUGAUUUGGGGAAAAUUUUUAGGGGAAAAAAAAGGUAUUUCUGUUAUAUGGGUUGGGAUAAAAUUGAGGAGAGCAAAACGAGUUGUUUCGUUUAAAACAAAAUAACCUUUUACGGCGUUUUUCACCUAGCGCCACUAAUGCCACUAAAAACGCUAAACAAAACGGCGUCGUUUUCUUUAAAGUAAAAUGAUUUUUUUUUGUGUUUUUCUCAUAAACACCGCUAAUGCCUUUGAUACUAAUAAAUAUUUAUAGUUAGAUUCAAUCCAAUAUAGUUGUGAAAUGAUAGCAAAACAAUGACAAAACAACACCAAAACAGUGGAAAUAGCAUCAUUUUUUUUUUGCAAAUUCGGGUCGGGCCUGGGCAAAAAAGCUUACUCGAGACCUGACCCGUUUAGAAAAUGGGCCUCAUUUUUUUGUCCAAACUCAUUUUUCGGGCUUAUAUUUUUGCCCAAACCCUCCCACUUUUUGAGUGGUCCGACCCAUGGUCAGGUAAGUGAGUGUUUUUUUUUAUUAUUAUUUCAAAGUUUCACACAAACUAAUUUAACAAAAAAGAAAAUUAACAAUGUUAAUAAUUAGACCUAAAUUUUGAAAUUUGAAAAGUGGAGGGACUAAAUUCUUAGAAAUAAAAGUACAGGGAUGAAAUUUAAAAUUUGUGAAGAGUACAGGGGCCUAUAGCAUCUUUUAACCUAUACAAAUAAUUUUAUUAUUUAAUUUUUUAAUAACAAAUAAAUAAUUUUAUUUAACAGUAAAGAAUACCAAUUUUAAUUAGAUUAUCUUUGUUGAAGAAUUAGAGAUAGAUUAUCUUAUUUUGUAUUAAUAAUGAAUACAUAUGUGUAUAUUCAAUGUAUAGUUGAACUUUUGUGUACAUAUUAAUUAAUAAGUAAUUAGGUGUAUCAAUUCGAAACAUUAUAUGUGUUGUAAAUGAUGAUAUUAAAGGCAACAAUAAUUCAUAUUGUUACUUUAGUUUUUCAAAAUAUGCAAUGAUUUUCUUUAUGUUGGUUAUCCAUAUAAUUUUAAACAACAAUCUAAAUACAUUGUUGCAAGUAAAAGGCAAGCAUAAUGUUUAAUAUAAUACAACACUUUUUAUGUUUGCUAUCUAGUACUACUUUAGUUAACAAUAUUUUAAACGUUACAAAUCAACUGUUGUCUAAAGUCAUUUUUGUUGUAGUGUAAGCACUAAGGCUUUAUAAGCUGGAAUAAUAACAUUAAGUGUAUAAGUGAACCCAAAAAAUAGAAGGUUCAAAAUCAAGGUAAUAGGAAAAACUCUGCAAAGUUUGGCUCGAAAGGCUCCAACCAUCUAAAGAAAUUGCCUAGGUCUUCCCUUGUCAUGCAUUUGGAACUACUCAUUCUAUUCAAGGGUAAUAAGCCAACAUGUAACAAUCCGUUUUUCAAUGGUGUCGGAAACAGUGGUACGGAACCACAAUUUCAACAAGUGAGUCUAUAAAUAUUAUUAUUUAAUAUUUAUGAUUCAAUUUCAAUGUGUUAGUGAAGCUUGAUCUGGUAAAUUCUACUAAUAGAAUGAUUAAUUUCAAUACUACUGAAAGUCAGUGGUUUUGGAAAAUGAGGUAUCAGGAUCUCAUUUCUAUAAAUCGAGCUUGUACAUAAUUUUAUUGAGUACUUACGGAGCUAUUAUAUAGGUUAAUUGAAGUUUGGUUUAGAAAUUUUAGUGAAUUGAUAGUUAAUUGAGGAAAAAGACUAAAUCAUAAAAAUUGUAAAACUUGAUCAUUAUUGAAUUUUAGUUGAUAAAAGGGUUAAUUAGGAUUUAUUAAGGGAUUUAAUCGGUAAAUUACCCAUUUUUAAGAUGGUGGGACUGUUGGAGCUUAAUUUGUUAUAAGUUUUACAUGUUAAUUUAAUAUUAAAAUAAAAAUAGUAAAGUUAAAACAUGAAACAUAAUGGUCUUUUUCUUCAUUUUUAUUUUCUCCCACCUAAAACACUAUUUUUGAAGAGUUCAGAUCCGACCAACCUUCUCUUAGUUGCAUAUAAGUCCAAUUCAAGCCCAUUUUUAGUAAAUUUUAUGUUUUUGAGAUUAUUGUAGCUUAAUCUAACUAACCCAGGGACUAUUUUAUAAAACUGUUAAAGGUUUUAAAAGUUACCAUUAGUGAAGUAUUGAAUUUCUUGAUAUUUAAUGGUAGAUUUGUAAGCUUGGUUGUUAAAUGGGACUAAUUUGUAAAGUGAUUUUUGUUAGUUUUGAGUUUAGGGACCAAAAUGAGAAUAUGUCGAUUUUAGCAUAGUUUUUUUGUAAUUUUAAAUGCUUGAGAACUUUCUAGGUUUGUGUACGUAUGCGAAUUGAAUUUUGCGUGUUUAAUUGUGAAAGUUAUAAAUGUUUUGGUUUUAAAGACUAAAUUGAAUAAAUUGUAAAAGUUUAGAGAAAUAUUAUAAAUUGAAAUUAAUGGUUCACACGCAUAUAUUUGAAUAUGUUAAGGUAUUUGGAAUUGAUAUUUUGAACUUAAUUAUUAAUUAUAUCAAGCUUUGGAACAAUCGAUUGAUAAACGAGAAAAAGAAAAAGAAAAAUUACAGGAUAGUCCCUAGGAUUCAACUCGAUAGUUGAUCAUACUAGGUAAGUUCAUAGGGAAUAGAAAUGUGCUUAUAUUUAUUGUUUGUGAUUGAAUUGUGAAUAUAUAUGUAUACAUUGUUAGAUUGAAAUGUUAUAAAUUAAUACUAAGGUGAGAAUGGAUCUAAUUGAAAGUCUUGUAUACUUGUGAAACAUGAUUCAUGUGGAUACUGAAUGAAUGUUAUCUAGUUAUGAAAUGUGUUUUGGAUAAACAUGAAAGUGCUCCUGAUUGUAAAUGUUCAGAAUCUUGUAUAAAUGUUCAUUUGAACAUAGUAAAUGAUUAGGAUACAAUUGGCAUACUAAUAGGGUUAGAUGCAUGCUUAUUCUGCUAGCACUACGGUGCCCUGAUUGCACAUCCGUGCCCCUGAUUGCACUUUAGUUCCCUUGUAUGCACAUUUGUGCCUUGUUCAGCACUAUGGUGCUCCCUGAUAUAUUUACCCGAGUAUCCGAGUUAUUUUUUCUAUUGUUCAUUGGGGUACCCAAAUCUGUGAAUAAAUGGAAUAUAGAUGUUUUUAUGUUUGAUGAUGCUAUGUGAUCGUAAAAUCUUGAAUGACAUGAAUGAUGUUGAAUUACUUAGUGAAUUGUAUACAACGAACUCACUUGUUUUCUUGUGAAUUGAUAUUGUCAGGUUUAGUAUCAUAUUAAUUAAUUUAUUGCAUAUAUGUGAUUCAAGGUAAGCUUAUAAGUAGGUUUAAUCCCGUGAACUUACUAAGCUAUUAAAAGCUCACUCUGUUUUAUUUCUUGUUUUCUGUAGUUGAUAAUUUGUGGAACAAGGCUGUCGGAUCAACUUCAACGUUCACACUAUCAAGCUUCAGUCUCGGUAGAUUUUGAAUUGUUUUUACUUCAGUUAUGUGACAUGUAUAUAGGCUAUUUUGGAAUUAUGUUUUGAGCUUAAAGGUUGAUGUUGAAAAGUGUUCAUAAUGUUUGAUAUUUAAGGUUGAAUUUUAAUAUUUCUAUGGCAUACUUAUAAGGUAAAUGAUGAAUGUAUGUGUAGUAUAGGUUUGCUUUAUCUUGAAUCAUAAAAUGUAUGGAAAUGGUAAUGCUUGGAUGGAAUGUGUGGCAUAUGUGUUAAAUGAUAGUUGUAAGGUUUGAACUUAUUAGAUCAAGUUGGUUUUGUGUGAUAUGGUAAGUUUUGGCAUAUUGAAGGUUGUACGAUUGAGACCUAAAUGGUCAAGUUGGGUUUGUGAAUUGCUAAACUUAGGCAAAAUGAACUUUGUUGGUAUGUUUAUCAUGCUUUUAACAUGGUGAAUGUUUGAUAAUGUAUUAUCUUGGUUGUGAUAGUGCCAAAAUGGCAUAUUGGUUAGGUACUACUAGGAUGUUUUUAUGUUAUGUUUUGGCAUUGGUUUGAAAUGUAUUGAGCAAAGUUUCAAAGUGUUAUCAUAUGUUUUAAUUUAGUCCCUGUUCAACCUUGAACUUGUUUUAGAGCUUUUGUAAGCUCGAUUAAGACCCGGAUUAGGUUGUUAAUCAUAUUUUGCAUAGAUUAUGAAAUGAUAAAUUUAUUUUUAAAUUGAAAUUGCAUGUGAUGGUUUCUAUUUUCUGUGGUAGCAUUCUAUAGCUUGAGUCCGGUGACCGAGGCAGAUAUGGGAUGUUAAACAACAAAUUUUAAAAUCAUGAUCAAGGUUCAAAAUAUAAUAUUAUCAAGGUAAUGUAUCCAAGAAAUGUUCAAAUUAUAGAAAGGGAAAGUAUCCAAAGUCCUAACAAAACCAAAUUAUACAAUUACAAGUCAUGCACAUCAUCUAAGAUAGGUAAUGUAUCCAAGAAUGGUUCAAAAUAUAAUAUUAUCAAAGAAAGUUCAAAGAGGAAGUAUCCAAAGUCCUAACAAAACCUAAUUACAAGUCAUGCGUAUCAUUUAAGAUUAGUAACGUAAAGAAAAGUUCAAAAUAUAAUAUUACCAUGGAAAGUUCAAAGAUGAAGUACUCAAAGUUCUAACAAAACCUAAUUAUACAAAGCCCAAGAAACACAUUCUAUAUUAGGUUAGCAAGUAAUCUUUCAAUCAACAACCAUUCAAGUUUACAUACUUUACUACUUUGCAAGCAUUUUAAAAUUUUAAAAAUACUAAACACUUUAAAUGAUCAUGCAAAAUAUUUAUCAAAAUUGCACAUAAAGUUAAAAAUUGACAAGGUGUGUAUUGAUAUUGUUGGAAAAAUCCAAUUUAAAAAACAGUUUUUUGUUAUAACGAAAAAUUAAAAUUUUGAAAAUUGAGUCAGUUUGUAAUAUUUAUAGCAAUAAUUUUUUCCCAAAAAAUACCAGUACUUUGAGCGAAACGGAUCCUAGAUGUUCCUAUCUUUCAACUAAAUGACAUUCUCUACUAUUCUCGUACCACGAAUUACUUUGAGUGUGAGCUUGAAUAAUCGUAAACCAAACACAUAACCAUAAACGAUUUAUUACUUUCAGUUGGAAAGUAAUUCUCACUCAAUAGAAAUUGAUAGAAUUGUUAUUCCCAGAAAGUAGAAUUUAUACUUAGAAAAUAAAUUCUCACUUUUUUAUGGAAGAAUAACAAUAUUGAAAACUUGCAUGAACUGUUGUAAAUAGCUCUACCAAUGUCAUUUAUUUAUAGAAAGAGAUAGAAGAAUCCUGAUUGAAUUAGUAGAACACAAAUAAUACAUAUUUAAUAGAAAAAUUAGCCUUCUAGUUUAACUAGAAGAAAGGGGUGACACUCCCUAGUUAAAUACAUUAGGCAUGCCAACUAGGGAUGUCGUCCCUCAUAUGUAAUAUGAGGGGAGUUUAGGUCUCUCUUGUAUUGGGUCCAAUUAUUUGUGUUUCAUUGACUUUUAAUCUAGCACUUUAUAAUUUAACCCAACUCGAUACAUGUUUUUCUAUUUCCAAUAAUAAAUAUUAUUUAUAAAUUAAUUUAAUCAGAUAAAUUAUUUUUUCAAUUAAAUAAUUUUCUUAACCCAAUUCUAAUACCGUUAAAGUCAUGUCAACUUUUAUGAGAAAAUAUAUUUAAUUUUCAUAUUCAACAGAUUCACAAUGACUAAUAAUUUAAUUACAUUUUCGAACUUCAAUUAUUUAAUUAAAUAAAAUUUCAAAAAACUUAAAUCAAUUCUCAAGUCAUUUUUAUACUUAAUGGGAAAACAUAUUCAUUUCCGAAUGUAGCUCAUUUCUCUAGCUUUACCAUUUCCAUCCAUUUCUGUUCAUUUGAUUCUUUUUGCACUUUAUUUCGAGUUUCAAUGAGCUAUGACUAAGCUCUCUAUAAUUACAUACCAUUACGAAAGCUACUCAACUAGUGCUCGUCCAAUGACCUUGUCAUAAGUGUGUUACCCUCAUAGGAUAUCCUUAAUCUUUUUUGGAUAAAUUCGCUCUUCCAAUAUGAUCCUAUUUUAUCUCAUGGUAACCAUUACAUCUUCCUUCAUGAAAAGUCAAUUACUAUCAAAUAGUAAUUAUGUCAUUUAUCAUAAAGACAAACGACCUGUGAUCACUUUUACUUUUCAUCUAUCAUGUAAUGCCAAUGAGAGGAUAUCAUUUACGUAUUUAUUGAGUUAUGAAUUCCACUAUUGUGAAUGAUGCUACAUAUUGCAGAAGUCGCAUACCCAACACACUAGCUUUUGGUUCCUUAUUUAUUUGAACUUAGACUUUUACUUACAUCAAAGUAUAUGAGCCGUACAUACAUAGUUCAUCAUCCAUUUAGAAUUAAGGUAUAUCACACUAUCAAUGUCACAAAUGAAUAAAUUCAUAAACGGAUUUAGGAUCUAUUUUACUUGGGUCAUGCUCGAUGUACUAUCAGUUUAGUCAGUCACAUCUAUGUCUCUAUCUUAUGGAGUUAUUCGCUCCGAUGUUCAAGACAAAGCAUCUUCCCAAAUGGACUUGAUAGAUGACAUAUUAGUCUUUCAAUCGGUUUGCACAUUUUCAAUUAGACUAAAGACAUGUUUAGGUUCAUUUACUAACAUAAGUUGUCUUUCUUUAUUACGAUUUGACCACGUAAUACUGCUUGGUAUUAGUUAAAUGUUAGAUAACUAGUAAGCCAAUAUUUGCUUUCAUUUUGUUUUGCAUGCAAAAACCAUUGAGGACAAUAUACAAUGAUAUUAAUGUAAUUUUUGGAUGUUUUUAUUAAACCAAUUUGUUCAAAAAUACAAGUAUACAAAACGAAUAUACUACACUUAAGGAACCAUAUCCAGUAUAUAUUUUCCUAACUCGGCCAUUUUGAUCAAAAUAUCAUCCCAAUGUUUUAACAAGGUUUUUUUUUCAAAAAACAAAGAAAGAAAAAGAAAACAAAUGAAAACAAAACAUAAAAUGGGUGUCAAGAUUACUCCUUAUCUGUCAUUUCAACCUAAGACGAUGCAAUUCAAUAAUGCUAUUCAUUCUUUCCUUGCAUUCGACUCUAAAAAGAAGAGAUAAAAAAGAAAAAAGAAAAUUAAGGAUAUGCAUUCUAAUAAGGUGUAGUAGCCCUUUUUUUACUCUGUCACAUUGUUUACAAUAAUAACCAGUAGUGAUUUUUUUAAACUAAACUUGGAAUUUUCACAAAGUAUCCCUUACUCCCAUCAAUUUAGUACAUUGUCUUCAAUACCAAAAUUAUGAGUGAAGCAUAAAUUACUAGAAUAAAACACAACAUAUAUAUAUAUAUUAUCAUUCACUUUACUCAAGGCCUACCACAACUUAAAUAUCACGCAUUAACCCAUUUAAAUGUAUCAAUAUAAUUAAACAUGCUAAAUUUAAGAUUUAUCAACAAAAUAUCAAAAUAAGUGGAAAUAUCUACUCUUCCACUUCAAUUUACAAACUUGUCAUCUCCUUGCUUAUAAUCUCCCUCUCAACUACUUCUUCUUUAACACGUAUAUAAAAUACCCAUUUAAUAAAGGUGAUAAAUACCCACUAAUAUGGCUUAGCUGCUUAACAAAUUUUUAUAACCUUAAAAGCAUGCAUGAAUAAGAAAAAUGUGACGUAUGCUCUUACCUCUUCUAAGCCUUGUUCACUCGAACAAAAUUUCCCGCAUAGAAAUACAAACCCUAGACAGUGGAUGAUGGAAAUGGUCAAGAGAAUGCUUCAAAUGGAGUGUUUUUAGGGUGAGUUUCAAGAGAAGAGGAUGAACUAUGGCGAAGUACUGAAUAGAUUGAAGAGGAAAAAUAAAAAAGAGGAAGGAAUAUGGCUUUCUUCUCUUGUUCUCUAAGGGUGUUGACCCUAUCAAGGAAAAUAGGGUACUCAACCCCUUUCCUUGGCUUUUUCGAAUUUAAAAUUACAAUUAGAUGAUCAUAAUGACGGAUUGUGAGACUAAAAAAAUUUUAAAAGUUUAAUUAAAAUUUUUGAGAUUAAUGAAGAUUUUCAAAAAUUUGAGGAGUUUAAUUAAAAUUUUCUAAAAUUUCAAGGAAAUUAAUAUUAAAGAUAUAAUUAAAAUUUUC